GCAAGAUGAAGAGGAGCUUUAUUGAGCAAUAGAACAGCUCAGAGGAAACUGGCAGGGGGCAGCUCCUUUCUGCAGCCAGGGUGUUCCCACAAGUGUUCAGCUCCUAGCGGAGAGGGUAGCUCCUCUCUGCAGCUGGUCAUCCAGUCAUCUGUGCAGCUCUCAGCAGAGAGGAGACCAUAGAGUGGGUGGCUCAUCUCUGCAGGCAGGUCAUCCCAUCGUCUCUGUAGCUCUCAACAGAGAGGAGGCCCUGAAGUGGGUAGCUACUCUGCAGCUGGUCAUCCUGACAUCCGCUCAGCUCUGGCUGAUCUUGGGGCUUUUAUGGGCCUCAGAGGGGAAGAAUUGCACGCUGAUUGGUCCAUGGGUGGCCAUAGGUGGGCCCGGAAAAGGCACCACAAGUUCCUGCUCUGCAGAACUGGCAGCCCAGCCCCCAGUUUUCAGACUCUCCUAGCCUGAAGACAGGAUCUCACUCCGGUUGCCCAGGAUGGAGUGCAGUGGUGAGAUCACGACUCACUGCAGCCUCAACUCCCC
rnacentral:lncRNA from 10 species